rnacentral:rRNA from 1 species
GAUGAACGCUGGCGGCGUGCUUAACACAUGCAAGUCGAACGGUGAAGGCGGAGCUUGCUCUGCUGGAUCAGUGGCGAACGGGUGAGUAACACGUGAGCAAUCUGCCCCUGACUCUGGGAUAAGCGCUGGAAACGGCGUCUAAUACUGGAUACGAGCUGCGAAGGCAUCUUCAGCAGCUGGAAAGAACUUCGGUCAGGGAUGAGCUCGCGGCCUAUCAGCUUGUUGGUGAGGUAACGGCUCACCAAGGCGUCGACGGGUAGCCGGCCUGAGAGGGUGACCGGCCACAAUGGGACUGAGACACGGCCCAGACUCCUACGGGAGGCAGCAGUGGGGAAUAUUGCACAAUGGGCGAAAGCCUGAGGCAGAAACGCCGCGUGAGGGACGACGGCCUUCGGGUUGUAAACCUCUUUUAGCAGGGAAGAAGCGAAAGUGACGGUACCUGCAGAAAAAGCGCCGGCUAACUACGUG